GAAUCUGAAUGGAAACAUCAUUCCAAGGAAGGAUAGGCUCCGCAUACUAGGCCUUCACAUAUAACGCAAUGGCAAGACCAUACAUACAUUCCAACCAC
rnacentral:lncRNA from 1 species